AGAAAAAAAAAGAGAAAGAAAAAAGGCACAAUUUUAUGUGGGAUCCAGUGGUUUUUGGUGCAUUCAUUCAUUCGAGUGGUUCAUGGGAUCUGCCAGGCACACAAAACAAAAAAAGAAAAAAGAGCCAGGCUUACAUGUGGCUUACAGGAACAAACAUAAAGGCUCGAUUUGGGCGCAGGAGCUUACAGCAGGUGCAGAUUCAAAACGGAGCAGGGGUCUUCAUGGCUUAGGUGCGGCUC
rnacentral:lncRNA from 1 species